rnacentral:misc_RNA from 1 species
GAUGUUAAACGCUUGACACUCGAUUUGUAGUGCUCUUGCCUCCUGUGCAAUUUGUUAUGCUGACGAACACCGAUGUACUCAUCAAAUUCGUGCCAUCUUGGCACCCAGAGCUUCCUCAUUGCCAAUGUGUAAAGAAAAGCAAAACUGCUGACGAGUGUAACUUUCAGCGCAAGGAACUUGAUAAAGCUAACAGGCGCAACAGUGAGAUACCAAUGCAAGACCUCGUGAAUUUUGUACUUCUGGUGCUCGCACUCACAGUCAUGGUGCAGAAUGUGUCUGCUGGUAAAGUGCUUAACAGCCACUGUGUUGGUCUACGUUGCCAUAGACCAGGUGAUCCAAGGUGCGGAAUGUACUGCGAGUGCACCCUGACGGCCUACGGGCGCCGUUGCACACCACGAUUUAUGAAUUUGCGUGGGUAGCUCGAAGCUAUAUCAAAUGACGAUGUGGGCUAUCUGCGCAGAAAACUAAGUAAAAUAAAGUUU